rnacentral:rRNA from 1 species
UGGGGAAUUUUGGACAAUGGACGCAAGUCUGAACCAGCCAUGCCGCGUGCAGGAAGACGGCCCCCUGGGUUGUAAACUGCUUUUAUUCGGGAAUAAACCUAUCUACGUGUAGAUAGCUGAAUGUACCGAAGGAAUAAGGAUCGGCUAACUCCGUGCCAGCAGCCGCGGUAAUACGGAGGAUCCAAGCGUUAUCCGGAUUUAUUGGGUUUAAAGGGUGCGUAGGCGGCCUAUUAAGUCAUGGGUGAAAGACGGUAGCUCAACUAUCGCAGUGCCCGAGAUACUGAUGGGCUUGAAUGAAAUAGAGGUAAGCGGAAUGUGACAAGUAGCGGUGAAAUGCAUAGAUAUGUCACAGGACACCGAUUGCGAAGGCAGAUUACUAUGGUUUUAUUGACACUGAGGCACGAAAGCGUGGGGCUCAAAC